UACGUAGGGGGCUAGCGUUGUCCGGAAUCAUUGGGCGUAAAGCGCGUGUAGGCGGUCCGGUAAGUCCGCUGUGAAAGUCGGGGGCUCAACCCUCGAAUGCCGGUGGAUACUGUCGGGCUAGAGUGCGGAAGAGGCGAGUGGAAUUCCUGGUGUAGCGGUGAAAUGCGCAGAUAUCAGGAGGAACACCAGUGGCGAAGGCGGGUCUCUGGGCAGUAACUGACGCUGAGGAGCGAAAGCGUGGGGAGCGAACAGG
rnacentral:rRNA from 1 species